UUGAAGGUGCGGUUACGUGUUGUUAGACUCUUCGCCAGUGUCCCCUUUCGUGGGUACUGGCCAACCAAACCCUGCGGACCCGACAAAAAAUAGAAAAAGAAAACGAACGGAGCCGCUUCCCAUCGGACUUGGCGCGCACAGCCAUUUUUGCCUGGUCAAUGCCCGCUAUUAGUCGCUCUUUCGACAAAAACCCACCACCCAGCUCAAGAUUCCAAGACGCAUCAGUUGUACAAUGAAGAAGAAAGAAAAAAUAAUAAGGCAAAGGGGAGGCGAAGAAAAAAAAUAAAAAACGGUGAACGUCAAGGCAGAAAGGUGAGGAAUAGAGAAAAGGGAUGAAAAGGGGAACAGACAAGAGAAAUGCAAUGAAAUGGGCAGAAAAGGGAGGAGCCCGCCAGGUAAGGCAAUCUUAUGUAUCCAAUGGCACAGAAGGCGGAAGAAAUAAGCAACGAAGGGGUCGCCAUGAACUUUAACAAUCUGAUAGAAGAUUCUGAAAGAGAUGAAAAAUGACGUAGAAAGGAAGAAAGAAAAAAAAAAAAGAACGAAAUGCAUGAAUAAGGGAGAGGCAGGUAAAGGAAAGGAAGAGAGGGAGAUGAACCGUUAUUCGACUACCUGUUUGUGAAGGCCAAGUUGUUAGCCAGUCAGAGAGAUAGCCAUUGAGUUGGCCGUCAGCUGGCACGUAUUCAGUUCCGCCGAUCCAAACCCGCCACCAGCCGAAUCUCAUCCUGAAGCAUUUAACACAAACAGGCAGCGACACCGUCAAACGUACAACUUGACGAACCCCUUCACUUUAGACUUGUAGCAUAUCCAAUUAUUUAUACUGCACAUUACACAGGCACAAACACA